rnacentral:lncRNA from 1 species
GACUCUUCAACAACAUCGAACCGACAACUUUGUCCCUCAGCAAGCACAUUAUGAGCAACACAAUUCAUUUUCAAUCUAAAUUCUACUUGUACUUCUUUGAAUUUGGCAUGUGUGUACUCCAUUUGGAAUUGUCUUUCGAUGCUAGACUGGGACGUGCAAGGAAUAACGGUGUUCAUCGAAGCAAAGUCUGCUUCACAUUCUAAUUGUGCUUUUCUUUUGUAGUGCAUUGUUAUAUUGAUGUACAAAUUGUUGAAGUGUGGUCAUCGAAUUGAUAUAGCCAUCAAAAAAGGCGUUCAUGCU